rnacentral:rRNA from 1 species
GCAAGUCGAACGAUGAAGCCCUUCGGGGUGGAUUAGUGGCGAACGGGUGAGUAACACGUGGGCAAUCUGCCCUUCACUCUGGGACAAGCCCUGGAAACGGGGUCUAAUACCGGAUAUCACUCCCGCAGGCAUCUGUGGGGGUCGAAAGCUCCGGCGGUGAAGGAUGAGCCCGCGGCCUAUCAGCUUGUUGGUGAGGUAAUGGCUCACCAAGGCGACGACGGGUAGCCGGCCUGAGAGGGCGACCGGCCACACUGGGACUGAGACACGGCCCAGACUCCUACGGGAGGCAGCAGUGGGGAAUAUUGCACAAUGGGCGAAAGCCUGAUGCAGCGACGCCGCGUGAGGGAUGACGGCCUUCGGGUUGUAAACCUCUUUCAGCAGGGAAGAAGCGAAAGUGACGGUACCUGCAGAAGAAGCGCCGGCUAACUACGUGCCAGCAGCCGCGGUAAUACGUAGGGCGCAAGCGUUGUCCGGAAUUAUUGGGCGUAAAGAGCUCGUAGGCGGCUUGUCACGUCGGGUGUGAAAGCCCGGGGCUUAACCCCGGGUCUGCAUUCGAUACGGGCUAGCUAGAGUGUGGU